UGAGGAAUAUUGGGCAAUGCCCGCAAGGGUGACCCAGCAACGCCGCGUGGAGGAUGAAUGUCGUAAGAUUGUAAACUCCUGUUAGAGGGGAAGAAUAGUACCGGUUGGACCGGUAUAUGACUGUACCCUCAGAGAAAGCCCCGGCUAACUACGUGCCAGCAGCCGCGGUAAUACGUAGGGGGCAAACGUUGUCCGGAUUUACUGGGUGUAAAGGGCGCGCAGGCGGGAUAAAAAGUCAGUGGUGAAAUCCUACAGCUUAACUGUAGAACUGCCUUUGAUACUUUUAUUCUUGAGUUCGGGAGAGAGAGACGGAAUUCCAGGUGUAGUGGUGAAAGACGUAGAUAUCUGGAAGAACACCAGUUGCGAAGGCGGUCUCUUGGUCCGACACUGACGCUGAGGCGCGAAAGCGUGGGGAGCAAACA
rnacentral:rRNA from 1 species